rnacentral:tRNA from 1 species
GGUCUCAUGGUGUAAUGGUUAGCACUCUGGACUUUGAAUCCAGCGAUCUGAGUUCAAAUCUUGGUGAGACCU